rnacentral:tRNA from 1 species
GCCAGCCUGGCGCAAAUGGCAGACGCGCCGUUCUCAGAAAGCGGUGUUUCUCGGUGCGAGUCCGAGGGCUGGUAC